UACGAAGGGGGGCUAGCGUUGCUCGGAAUCACUGGGCGUAAAGCGCACGUAGGCGGCUUUUUAAGUCAGGGGUGAAAUCCUGGAGCUCAACUCCAGAACUGCCUUUGAUACUGAGGAUCUUGAGUUCGGGAGAGGUGAGUGGAACUGCGAGUGUAGAAGUGAAAUUCGUAGAUAUUCGCAAGAACACCAGUGGCGAAGGCGGCUCACUGGCCCGAUACUGACGCUGAUGCACGAAAGCGUGGGGAGCAAACAGG
rnacentral:rRNA from 1 species